UUGGCGGCAGUGUGACACCUUACAUUACCUGACACGACCGAACUAAUUGGGAUCUGGGAUUAGUGAUUAAUCUUUGGCUUUUCUGACAAGGAUUUGGUGUCUGACGUAGCAUUUGGGGCCUCUGCCUAGUAUUUGGAGUUUCUACCUGGCAUUUGGAGCACCUGCCUACACUUUGGAGCAUCUACCCAGCUUUUGGAGCCUCUACCUAGCAUUUGGAUCAUCUACCUACCAUUUGGAGCCUCUACCUAGCAUUUGGAGCCUCUACCUAGCAUUUGGAUCAUCUACUUACCAUUUGGAGCCUCUACCUAGCAUUUGGAGCCUCUACCCUAGCAUUUGGAGCCUCUACCUAGCAUUUGGAACCUCUACCUAGCAUUUAGAGCCUCUACCCUGGGCUCUGGCGAAUCUACCCUAGCAUUUGGAACCUUUGGGCACACCCUACCUCCAGUAAUCAUUGAUUUAAGAUGCUCAAGGGCCUUUCAACUCAGGUGUAUGUUGACGACAGAACGACAGUUAAUGAGGGUCACCUGUCGCAACCUGUGGCCAAGCGACAACAACAACAGGAAUCGUAUCACUGCUAUCUGCAACAUCGUCAACAACAACAACAGCUGUAUCACCCACAACAACAACAGCUGUAUCACCCACAACAACAACAACAGCUG